ensembl:lncRNA
AGAGGGAAGGGGAGUCAGCCUCUCUGGCUGUCCUGCCCCUCUCCUCUUCUUCUCUAUGCACCUGUGGUUUCUCUCUGAAUUUCCUUAUCUGGUGGGGAGUUGGGAGCCACAAGUCCUGGAAUACAUUCAGGAUUCUCCAGAUUCUCAUCUUGAAUCAUCAAAGUCAAGAGAAACUGUGAAAGUUUUUUCCAACCUUAAAUCAUGCUCUAAUUAUCAUCCUCCCUUCAUCUACCUCUUAAAUAGGGAUUCCGGGUUUCCCUGCUGGCUCAGAAGUGAAGAAUCUGCCUGCAAUGCAGGAGACACAGGAGACACAGGUUCUAUCCUUGCGUUAGGAAGAUCCCCUGGUGGAGGGCAUGGCAACCUGCUCCAGCGUUCUUGUCUAGGGAAUCCCAUGGACAGAGGAGCCUGGCUGGCUACAGUCCGUGGGGUCGCACGGAGUCGGACACAACUGAACUGACUGAACGCAUAGAGGGAUUCCAGAGUGCGGUUGAUAAAGGCGUGCCUUUCCGUGAGUUAGGAGGGCACAUCUCACAUGCAGACAGUGCCAUUCAUAUUGAGCUUAUAAUUCUCUCCCUGGAAAAUAGGAAGACACCACCUUGAGGAGAAAAGAUACCUGCCUUAAUUAUUGGAAGACUUUGAGACAGCCCUGGGCUAGCAUUUGUGAAACCUGUUCAGAGAUGCUCUAUUCUGUCAGUGAAGAGCUGACUCAGAUAAGAACUGGUCACAAUUAAAUUAGGCUCCUGUGAGGGAAUGUCGGGCUGGAAGGACUGCCCUGUAUGUCCACCAUUGAUUGGACCUGUGGAAAUUCUUACCCUGAAGGCGCUGUAUGCCAGGAUCUUGAGGAACCCUGCGUGAAUUAGAAAGAAGAAGCGCCGACCCUGUUAAAUGCCUGAUGGUGCUGCACUGGGACGUGCGUCAGGAGACAGAUGCCGCCCCGUCAUCGGCUCGCUGUGAGACUCCCCAUUUAUUAGAGACUCCCCAUUUAUUGUAAAUUAUUAGCCCAUUUCCUCCCAGCUUGUGUGCUGGAGUCUUCUCCUGUUGAUUUAUGUGGGGAAACC